AUUGAACGCUGGCGGCAGGCCUAACACAUGCAAGUCGAACGAGUGGCGGACGGGCGAGUAAUGUCUGGGAAACUGCCCGAUGGAGGGGGAUAACUACUGGAAACGGUAGCUAAUAACGCAUAACACUGAUUGUGUCCAGAUGGGAUUUGCCAGUAGGUGGGGUAACGGCUCACCUAGGCGACGAUCCCUAGCUGGUCUGAUGGGCUGACAGCCACACUGGAACUGAGACACGGUCCAGACUCCUACGGGAGGCAGCAGUGGGGAAUAUUGCACAAUGGGCGCAAGCCUGAUGCAGCCAUGCCGCGUGUAUGAAGAAGGCCUUCGGGUUGUAAAGUACUUUCAGCGAAGAGGCGUUACUCGCAGAAGAAGCACCGGCUAACUCCGUGCCAGCAGCCGCGGUAAUUC
rnacentral:rRNA from 1 species